rnacentral:tRNA from 1 species
GAAAGGCUAAUCUAAAUUAAGACAGUUGAUUUCGACUCAACUAAUUAUGGUUCAACCCCAUAGCCUAUCU